AGAAACUGACAUAUGAUACAUCAUUCUGUUGGCCCUUCAACAUCAGCCGUCAUCCAGCAGAGUCCUGUUAAUGUAUCCCAGAUCUGAAGUCAGAGUCCGAAUGAUAAGGAGGACCGACUGGCCCCAUUUCCGCAGAGGAAAAUACAACAUGACAAAUGGCAGCAAGCUGACUGCACAUUAAGAUGAAGAGAGCAAACAACACUUGCCAGCGGUGAAAUUAGCGGAGGACUCGGGGGAAAUGAGGGCUUACAGUACAUUUGGAUGAGACGGAGAAGAUGUAAGCCGUAAACUCUGCAGAGAAAUCUGGAGGUGACCGGAGUGAACCUCAGGCGAGCUGGAGCCUUGAACUGAAACCGAAUGAACUACACUCGGAAGUAAUUAACAGCACACCGCUCUGUUUCUACCUUUGUUUGCCAAUUUGUAAGUUAUGCUAUGUGUGUCUGUUCUUGCCAGUGUGUCUGUGCAGGUCUGAGACUUCGAUGAAAGACUAAGCAAGAAACAUGUCUACUGAUCUUACACAUACAUUAUGUGUGCGUGUGCAGUACAUUGUGUUUGUGUAUGUCUUUUGAUUUUAUAUUGUUUUGGCGUGUCCCCGUGUUUUUGUGUUCUGCAGACCUACAUUGUUCAGUGUUUACUCAGCUCUCCAGAUUAGUGUCAGAACAGAGAGUAGCAUACCCAGAGUACCAUGGCAGAUACCCUGAGUCUGGCCAAAACCUCUUUUGACCUUUGUAACAACCAAACAUUGCAGCAGCAAAGGUCAACUUUGUUUGUGCAUUUGUUUUCACAUGGGGUUGCUUUUGAUUGCAAAUUGAAAGCAGGGUUUAAGUGACAUCAUAUAAACUUGAUUUUGAUAAAUUUGAUCUCAGGGAUUUGCAGAAAAUUAUUCCACGAUAAACAAUAGAGGCAAACUAAGCGAGAAUACACAGUUCAUGAUAAGCCAUUGGGAGCAUGAACCAUUGGAAAAGGGCACAUCAGAUGGGAUCAGUACCUAACAGUACACAAAGAUAUACUGAACUUUUCAAGAAACAUACAGAUCAACUUGAGCGUUGAAAUUCAUUUUGCUGUAAAGAUAAAUUGGUAAGGCUCAGAGGCAAAACAAAAACGAGGACUAAACCACAAAAGUUUGUUGGAGGCCUAAACUUGAAAAUGGCCCAAAAGCACUUGUCUUUUUUAUUUCUCGUCCCUUUGUCUUUUUACUAUUGUUUGUUGAUGUUCUGACAUUUAUUUUGCAGUACAGCCACAAUGCCAUACGACCAGCUGUCAAACGAACAGGAGAGUGAUUAGCUUGACCAUGAAUGCCCCCUUUUUCCUGAACUUCUCGUUCCCUUUCUCUUGCUCACAUUUUUGGACAAUUACUUGGAGUGGAAAAAAAACUGCUCUUUAAUUUAAGAACUGGAAUUAAAAAUUUAAAGCUGCCGGGUGGAACUUGUGUCUCCCUCUUUCAGCAGUAAGAAUAACUGCUCAAACAAUGUCGAUGUGCUUAUGACAACAUAGGCUCCUAUACCAUACUCCUGAAGUGUGCUUCGUAGGUACUGUUCCUCCUUGCUUCAGCUCUGAACCAGUCUUUGUUGGUUUACAUGAAAUGCAUUGGCACUGAUGCGCCAAAGUGGGAAAGAUGCCACGGGCUCCAGAUUUAAAAGCUCCAGUCUAGAGUUAAAUUUAAAG